UACGUAGGGUGCAAGCGUUGUCCGGAAUUAUUGGGCGUAAAGAGCUCGUAGGCGGUUUGUCGCGUCUGCUGUGAAAACUCGGGGCUUAACCCCGGGCCUGCAGUGGGUACAGGCAGACUAGAGUGCGGUAGGGGAGACUGGAAUUCCUGGUGUAGCGGUGAAAUGCGCAGAUAUCAGGAGGAACACCGGUGGCGAAGGCGGGUCUCUGGGCCGUAACUGACGCUGAGGAGCGAAAGCGUGGGGAGCGAACAGG
rnacentral:rRNA from 1 species